CCGUUUUCUCCCGCGCGAGUAUUUUGUGACAGUUAUUUUGUGUUCUAUUGGAUUCUGGAAGCAGUGAUUGCCUGUUUUAGUUUUAGUGCUUUGUGUUAGGCAGAUGUGGAAUUAUUUCAUGCACCAGGAUUUCGCCAGAACAUUUUGCCUGUUAGUUUUCAAAUAAUUUGUGUCGCAUCCGGCAAAGUUUACUUUUACUUUGAAAUCUCUACAGUGAAAUAGUUUUACAACAACAAUAACAACAACAGUAUGAUGCUGAGAAGCAAUGCAAGAGAGGAGAGUGUCACAGAGAGAGACUAGAUGGAAAAGCAACAACAAGAACAAAAACGGCAGCAGUAGCGACAUUAGCAACAAAACGUAGCAAACCUAUAUGGUUCUCCAUUAAUGGAAUCCUAUUACAGAAAUAAUUGUAAUUAGGAGAAGCUCUAAUCAGGCAAACAGCAUCUGUCUUACUUGACAAAUAUACGAAUCCCAUGAUAUCUAAUGAUGGAUAUCGGUACGAAACAAACUGAUGAACAAUUGUGUUUAGGUUUGCACUAAACUACUACUACUACUACCAUAACCGUUACCACAGUCUCCAUUGCGACCGCCGUUAAAACCAUUAUCACAACCAAGCACUACUGCAAUCUUUACCACCAUCGUCACAAUCACCAGUACAACAACUACCACAACGAACACGACUAACUACCCGCCACAACGAACAGAACGGCUAGAACAUGCACCACCACCACCACCACCACACAAAUAACAUCACCGCCACAACGAAUACAAUUUCUCCACCACUCAACGAA